rnacentral:rRNA from 1 species
UGGAAUACAGCGUCAUAGUGGUGAGAACCCAGUAUAUGAUGUGGAUGCCUAGUGCUUUGUGAUACAUUUUCAAAGAGUCGAGUUGUUUGGGAAUGCAGCUCAAAAUGGGUGGUAAAUUCCAUCUAAAGCUAAAUAUUGGCGAGAGACCGAUAGCGAACAAGURCCGUGAGGGAAAGAUGAAAAGCACUUURGAAAGAGAGUUAACAGUACGUGAAAUUGUUGAAAGGGAAACGCUUGAAGUCAGACUUGCUUUUGAGUUUACUUGAUGGCAGGCUAGCAUCAGUUUCUGASAGUAGAAAAGGGUAUUGAGAAGGUMGCAGCUUAGGUUGUGUUAUAGCUCUUUACUGGAUGUGCUCUUGGGGACUGAGGAACGCAACACGCUUUGUGCAAUGUCUUCGGGCAUUUCGUGUUAAGGAUGCUAGUUAAUGGCUUUAAACGACCCGUCUUGAAACACG